GACGAACGCUGGCGGCGUGCUUAACACAUGCAAGUCGAACGGAAAGGCCCUGCUUUUGUGGGGUGCUCGAGUGGCGAACGGGUGAGUAACACGUGAGUAACCUGCCCUUGACUUUGGGAUAACUUCAGGAAACUGGGGCUAAUACCGGAUAGGAGCUCCUGCUGCAUGGUGGGGGUUGGAAAGUUUCGGCGGUUGGGGAUGGACUCGCGGCUUAUCAGCUUGUUGGUGGGGUAGUGGCUUACCAAGGCUUUGACGGGUAGCCGGCCCGAGAGGGUGACCGGCCACAUUGGGACUGAGAUACGGCCCAGACUCCUACGGGAGGCAGCAGUGGGGAAUAUUGCACAAUGGGCGGAAGCCUGAUGCAGCAACGCCGCGUGCGGGAUGACGGCCUUCGGGUUGUAAACCGCUUCCGCCUGUGACGAAGCGUGAGUGACGGUAAUGGGUAAAGAAGCACCGGCUAACUACGUG
rnacentral:rRNA from 1 species